AUUGAACGCUGGCGGCAUGCCUUACACAUGCAAGUCGAGCGGGGUUUUCGGACCUAGCGGCGGACGGGUGAGUAAUGCGUAGGAAGCUGCCCGAUAGAGGGGGAUACCAGUUGGAAACGACUGUUAAUACCGCAUAAUGUCUACGGACCAAAGUGUGGGACCUUCGGGCCACAUGCUAUCGGAUGCGCCUACGUGGGAUUAGCUAGUUGGUGAGGUAAUGGCUCACCAAGGCGACGAUCUCUAGCUGGUUUGAGAGGAUGAUCAGCCUCACUGGAACUGAGACACGGUCCAGACUCCUACGGGAGGCAGCAGUGGGGAAUAUUGGACAAUGGGCGCAAGCCUGAUCCAGCCAUGCCGCGUGUGUGAAGAAGGCCUUCGGGUUGUAAAGCACUUUCAGCGAGGAGGAAGGGUGGUGUGUUAAUAGCACAUCAUUUUGACGUUACUCGCAGAAGAAGCACCGGCUAACUCUGUGCCAGCCGCCGCGGUAA
rnacentral:rRNA from 1 species